rnacentral:tRNA from 1 species
GCGGGAAUAGCUCAGUGGUAGAGCACAACCUUGACAAGGUUGGGGUCGCGAGUUCGAGCCUCGUUUCCCGCUCCA